CACGUAGUUAGCCGGGACUUCUUCUGCAGGUACCGUCACUUUCGCUUCGUCCCUGCCGAAAGGGGUUUACAACCCGAGGGCCUUCAUCACUCACGCGGCGUUGCUCCGUCAGACUUUCGUCCAUUGCGGAAGAUUCCCUA
rnacentral:rRNA from 1 species